ACAAUCAGAAAUUAAAGAAAAAGUGGAAAGUUACCAAAACAAAGAUGAAAAAAAUUUUUCGAUUGUAAACUGCUCAUUUUAUCUUUCUUCCCUUUUAUAUUCGAAACGAUUUUUUCCUUUUUUCACAUUUAACAUCCUUUCAGGCUUAGAUAAAAAUGGAGAGGGGGUGAACUUCAG
rnacentral:ribozyme from 1 species